UCUCAGUUCGGAUCGGAGUCUGCAACCCGACUCCGUGAAGCUGGAUUCGCUAGUAACCGCGCAUCAGCCAUGGCGCGGUGAAUACGUUCCCGGGCCUUGUACACACCGCCCGUCAAGCCAUGGGAGCCGGGGGUGCUUGAAGUGCGUCGCCGCAAGGCGCGCCCUAGAGCAAAACCGGUGACUGGGGCUAAGUCGUAACAAGGUAAC
rnacentral:rRNA from 1 species